CAUUAUCGAAUCUCUCAAGGAGGGGGGGAAGACUGUCGCUGGCAGAUCUGUUCUGCAUGUGCACGUCGACCCCUCUUUCUUGUCCACACCCACACACCUGUGCACCCCUUGUAGGUUCCCUUGUGAGAGGGAACCUAUGUCAUUUUCUCAUCACACCUGUCCAUAGAAUGUAUUGAGAACGUCGAUCAACUCCGGUUGGUGGGCGGUCGAUAAAUAAAAUACAACUUUCAGCAACGGAUCUCUUGGCUCUCGCAUCGAUGAAGAACGCAGCGAAUUGCGAUAAGUAAUGUGAAUUGCAGAUUUUCAGUGAAUCAUCGAAUCUUUGAACGCACCUUGCGCUCCUUGGUAUUCCGAGGAGCAUGCCUGUUUGAGUGUCAUCGAAUUCUCAACCAUGUCUUGAUUGACUUGACUUGGCUUGGAGUUGGGAGGAUUUUGCUGGCUGUCGAAAGAUGGUCAGCUCUCCUGAAAAACAUUAGCGAUGGGGCGGUCGAGUCUCUCGACGUGCACGGCCUUUGACGUGAUAAUGAUCGUUGGGGCUGGAGCAUUUUGGAGAUGAGGCGACUCAAUGCUUCCAAAUCGAUAGGACGAGCUUUGGUCCGAUCUACUAGUCAGACCGAAGCAAGUGCUUUCGUUUCGAAACUUGACCUCAAAUCAGGUAGGACUACCCGCUGAACUUAAGCAUAUCAAUAAGCGGAGGAAAAGAAACUAACAAGGAUUCCCCUAGUAACUGCGAGUGAAGCGGGAAAAGCUCAAAUUUUGAAUCUGGCGGUCUCUGGCCGUCCGAGUUGUAAUCUAGAGAAGCGUCUUCCGUGCCGGACCGUGUACAAGUCUCCUGGAAGGGAGCGUCAUAGAGGGUGAGAAUCCCGUCUUUGACACGGACUACCAGUGCUAUGUGAUGCGCUCUCGACGAGUCGAGUUGUUUGGGAAUGCAGCUCAAAAUGGGUGGUAAAUUCCAUCUAAAGCUAAAUACAGGCGAGAGACCGAUAGCGAACAAGUACCGUGAGGGAAAGAUGAAAAGAACUUUGGAAAGAGAGUUAAACAGUACGUGAAAUUGCUGAAAGGGAAACGCUUGAUGUCAGUCGCGUCGGUCGGGGAUCAACCUUGCUGUUCGCUGGGUGUACUUCCCGGUCGACGGGUCAGCAUCAGUUUCGGUCGCCGUACAAGGGCGGAGGGAACGUGCCACUCUUUGGAGUGUGUUAUAGCCUUUCGUCGGAUGCGGUGGUGGGGACUGAGGAA
rnacentral:rRNA from 1 species